rnacentral:rRNA from 1 species
GACGAACGCUGGCGGCGUGCUUAACACAUGCAAGUCGAACGGAAAGGCCCUGCUUUUGUGGGGUGCUCGAGUGGCGAACGGGUGAGUAACACGUGAGUAACCUGCCCUUGACUUUGGGAUAACUUCAGGAAACUGGGGCUAAUACCGGAUAGGAGCUCCUGCUGCAUGGUGGGGGUUGGAAAGUUUCGGCGGUUGGGGAUGGACUCGCGGCUUAUCAGCUUGUUGGUGGGGUAGUGGCUUACCAAGGCUUUGACGGGUAGCCGGCCUGGGAGGGUGACCGGCAACAUUGGGCCUGAGAUAGGGCCCGGCGUCGAAGGGGGGGCAGCGGGGGGAAAUAUGGCACAGUGGGAGGAAGCGUGAGGCAGAAGCGCCGGGGGGGGAAAGACGGCUUGCGGGUUGAAAACCGCUUCAGCUUGUGACGAAGCGUGAGUGACGGUAAUGGAAAAAGAAGCACCGGCUAACUACGUG